AUUCAUUGAAUAUACAUUCAUCGUCUAAUUGAAUAUAUUGGGUAAUCGGAUAUUUUUGGCUGACAUUUUGGGUAUCCGAUUGUCCGGAGUCUACUAUACUACCAUAAACAUAAUAAAGAUAGUAAAUAGUAUUUUUUUUCACUAAUUUAUUGACAUAAACUGGUUGUAACAUAUUUUAUUUUUGUAUUCCGGUUGGGACCCCCCCC
rnacentral:lncRNA from 1 species